AAAGAGUCAAACUCUGGAUUCCCGUGUCCAACGUUUGACUGUCUAUCUUAUAUAAAUUUUUUUAUAAUUAGUAUUUUCGUUGUUAUUAGAUGAUAAACAUGAUUAAUACUUUAUGCGUGACUUGUCUUUUUAAUUUUUUUCAUAAUUUUAAAUAAGACGGACGGUCAAACAUUGGACACGGAAACCCAGGGUUUGUCUUUUU
rfam:Oryza nivara chromosome 11, whole genome shotgun sequence.